rnacentral:rRNA from 1 species
UGCGGCGUGCCUAAUACAUGCAAGUCGAACGCACGAAGUUGAAGAGCUUGCUCUUUAACCAAGUGAGUGGCGGACGGGUGAGUAACACGUGGGUAACCUGCCCAUUAGAGGGGGAUAACAUUCGGAAACGGAUGCUAAUACCGCAUAGUUUCAGGAAUCGCAUGAUUCUUGAAGGAAAGGUGGCUUCGGCUACCACUAAUGGAUGGACCCGCGGCGUAUUAGCUAGUUGGUGAGGUAAUGGCUCACCAAGGCAAUGAUACGUAGCCGACCUGAGAGGGUGAUCGGCCACACUGGGACUGAGACACGGCCCAGACUCCUACGGGAGGCAGCAGUAGGGAAUCUUCCGCAAUGGACGAAAGUCUGACGGAGCAACGCCGCGUGAGUGAAGAAGGUUUUCGGAUCGUAAAACUCUGUUGUUAAAGAAGAACAAGGAUGAGAGUAACUGCUCAUCCCCUGACGGUAUUUAACCAGAAAGCCACGGCUAACUACGUGCCAGCAGCCGCGGUAAUACGUAGGUGGCAAGCGUUGUCCGGAUUUAUUGGGCGUAAAGCGAGCGCAGGCGGUUCUUUAAGUCUGAUGUGAAAGCCCCCGGCUCAACCGGGGAGGGUCAUUGGAAACUGGAGAACUUGAG